rnacentral:rRNA from 1 species
GAUGAACGCUGGCGGCGUGCCUAAUACAUGCAAGUCGAGCGAACAGAUGAGGAGCUUGCUCCUCUGACGUUAGCGGCGGACGGGUGAGUAACACGUGGAUAACCUACCUAUAAGACUGGGAUAACUUCGGGAAACCGGAGCUAAUACCGGAUAAUAUAUUGAACCGCAUGGUUCAAUAGUGAAAGACGGUUUUGCUGUCACUUAUAGAUUGAUCCGCGCCGCAUUAGCUAGUUGGUAAGGUAACGGCUUACCAAGGCAACGAUGCUUAGCCGACCUGAGAGGGUGAUCGGCCACACUGGAACUGAGACACGGUCCAGACUCCUACGGGAGGCAGCAGUAGGGAAUCUUCCGCAAUGGGCGAAAGCCUGACGGAGCAACGCCGCGUGAGUGAUGAAGGUCUUCGGAUCGUAAAACUCUGUUAUUAGGGAAGAACAAAUGUGUAAGUAACUAUGCACGUCUUGACGGUACCUAAUCAGAAAGCCACGGCUAACUACGUG